AUUGAACGCUGGCGGCAGGCCUAACACAUGCAAGUCGAGCGGAGCGGCGGACGGGUGAGUAAUGCCUAGGAAUCUGCCUGGUAGUGGGGGAUAACGUCCGGAAACGGGCGCUAAUACCGCAUACUAUCAGAUGAGCCUAGGUCGGAUUAGCUAGGUGGUGGGGUAAAGGCAUACCAAGGCGACGAUCCGUAACUGGUCUGAGAGGAUGAUCCGUCACACUUGAACUGAGACACGGUCCAGACUCCCACGGUAGGCAGCAGUGGGGAGUAUUGGACAAUGGGCUAAAGCCUGAGCCAGCCAUGCCGCGUGUGUGAAGAAGGUCUUCGGAUUUUAAAGCACUUUAAGUUGGGAGGCGUUACCAACAGAAUAAGCACCGGCUAACUUCGUGCCAGCAGCCGCGGUAAUUC
rnacentral:rRNA from 1 species